AUUGAACGCUGGCGGCAGGCCUAACACAUGCAAGUCGAGCGGGGUUUUCGGACCUAGCGGCGGACGGGUGAGUAAUGCGUAGGAAGCUACCCGAUAGAGGGGGAUACCAGUUGGAAACGACUGUUAAUACCGCAUAAUGUCUACGGACCAAAGUGUGGGACCUUUGGGCCACAUGCUAUCGGAUGCGCCUACGUGGGAUUAGCUAGUUGGUGGGGUAAUGGCUCACCAAGGCGACGAUCCCUAGCUGGUUUGAGAGGAUGAUCAGCCACACUGGAACUGAGACACGGUCCAGACUCCUACGGGAGGCAGCAGUGGGGAAUAUUGGACAAUGGGCGCAAGCCUGAUCCAGCCAUGCCGCGUGUGUGAAGAAGGCCUUCGGGUUGUAAAGCACUUUCAGUAGGGAGGAAGGGUGUUGUGUUAAUAGCACAGCAUUUUGACGUUACCUACAGAAGAAGCACCGGCUAACUCUGUGCCAGCCGCCGCUGUAAUAC
rnacentral:rRNA from 1 species